CCGAGCCACUUCUGCCUCGAUUUACCAAAGUGCGGGGAGAGGGGUGAACCAUUUUAGGGACGGUGGUGCGAACAGGCGAAAUCCAGCCUGCGCUGGUCUGCAGCGGAGGCAAAGGAAAGCUUUGACUUGAAAACGACCAACUAGCCCCUAACGCUGACUAACUUGGCCCUUGGCGGCCCUCCUCGUCCCGACUCUGCUGCCUUUCGGAUGGUUUCUUUAAUCUUUGGUUGGCUCCUCUCUCCACACAUUGUGGGAACCGCAAGGAUUCGGCCUUGGGGCUCUCGGGUCGCUGGUGCUCCGCGUGAUCUCAGCCGUCCCCUUCCCACCACCGCAUCUGCUGCAGCCGGGACUGACCUGGGAGUAACAGAAUCGCAUGCCAGGUCCGAGCUCCGGCGCUUAAUUCCCGCUCUGUGGAGCACAUCCAGCUCGAUGCUUGGCAGCUGUCUCCAACUGCACCCAUCCCAAACUAAAUUGAUCCUUCCCCCUCUUCUUUCCAGCCUGCCUCACCUCCUGCAUCCCCAGGUCUGGAAGAAACGUCUGUGGUCCUUGAGUCCGACUAGCGCUUUGUCUUGUGCCUGCCAGUGUGCUAAUUCUGAACCACGUCCCAGCUGUUGACCUGGGGCCACCAGAGAACUCAUCCCACGGAAUUUUUGCUGAAGACAGAAUGAGGGAAUAUGAAUAAAUUCACCAAACACUUAUAGAGUAUCCUCCAGAUGCCAGGCCCCAUGUGGAAUUCUGGGACGUCAAAGAUAAGACAUAAUUCCCACCUUCAAGAGGAUCAAGUCUUUUCAGUCAAGCAUGCUGCUCACACCUGAAACCAAUAUUGUAAACCAACUAUACCUGAAUAAAACAGACACACAAAUGAAAAAGGAUGCCUGGAAACAUCUUUUCAUCA